rnacentral:rRNA from 1 species
CACAGGUAGUCGAGUGGAGAACACUAAGGUGAGCGAGAGAACUCUCGUUAAGGAACUCGGCAAAAUGACCCCGUAACUUCGGAAGAAGGGGUGCUAGCCAAGAGAUUGGUUAGCCGCAGUGAAUAGGCCCAAACAACUGUUUAUCAAAAACACAGGUCUCUGCAAAAUCGUAAGAUGACGUAUAGAGGCUGACACCUGCCCGGUGCUGGAAGGUUAAGAGGAGAGCUUAGCGUAAGCGAAGGUUUGAAUUGAAGCCCCAGUAAACGGCGGCCGUAACUAUAACGGUCCUAAGGUAGCGAAAUUCCUUGUCGGGUAAGUUCCGACCUGCACGAAAGGUGUAAUGAUUUGGGCACUGUCUCAACGAGAGACUCGGUGAAAUUAUAAUACCCGUGAAGAUGCGGGUUACCCGCGACAGGACGGAAAGACCCCAUGGAGCUUCACUGUAGCUUGAUAUUGAGUAUCUUUUAAACAUGUACAGGAUAGGUAGGAGCCAGAGAAGAUAGGACGCUAGUCUUAUUGGAGGCAAUGUUGGGAUACUACCCUUGUUUGAAGGAUGCUCUAACCUCGACCUGUAAGCCAGGCCAGGGACAGUGUCAGGUGGGCAGUUUGACUGGGGCGG